rnacentral:rRNA from 1 species
GACGGAGGGUGCAAGCGUUGCUCGGAAUCACUGGGCGUAAAGGGUGCGUAGGCGGUCUCGCAAGUCUGGCGUGAAAGCCCAAGGCUCAGCCUUGGAAGUGCGCUCGAAACUGCGAGGCUGGAGUGCCGGAGGGGAGAGUGGAAUUCCCGGUGUAGCGGUGAAAUGCGUAGAUAUCGUAAGGAAGACCAGUGGCGAAGGCGGGUCUCUGGACAGUUCCUGACGCUGAGGCACGAAGGUCAGGGGAGCAAACGGG